rnacentral:lncRNA from 1 species
UCGCCUCCGGCUCAUCUUUCUGCCGCCGCAACAUCUUGUAGCGGACGGCUUGCACGGUCAUUUUUACGCCAGUAUCCAAAGGCUCCACCUUCAAGGACAACAUCUUGGCGUUCUCCGCAUCGGCUGCGAUCUUCGCCUUCUUUUCUUGGAGCUCCACCUUCUUCUCCUCGAGCAUGGCCUUUUUCUCUUUGAUCAAGACCCUCUUCUCUUCGAGCGCUAGCUUCUUCUCAGUCGCCUUCAUCAACAGUUUGAACCUCUCCGUCUUUUUUUUCCUCCUUGAUGUCCGAGCGCUUGACGAAUGCCUCCUCUUUCUUGGACAAGAUGUCCUCGAACCUCUCCGUCAUCUUCACCAUUGCACCUUCUCG